GAUGAACGCUGGCGGCGUGCCUAAUACAUGCAAGUCGAGCGAACAGACGAGGAGCUUGCUCCUCUGACGUUAGCGGCGGACGGGUGAGUAACACGUGGAUAACCUACCUAUAGAAUGGGGAAAAUUCGGGAAACCGGAGCCAAAACCGGGAAAAAUUUUUAAACCGAAGGGUCAAUUGGUAAAAGCGGGUUUGCUGGCACCUAAUGGAGGAUCCCGCGCCGCAUUGGCUAGUUGGUAAGGUAACGGCUUACCAAGGCAACGAGGCGUAGCCGACCUGAGAGGGUGAUCGGCCACACUGGAACUGAGACACGGUCCAGACUCCUACGGGAGGCAGCAGUAGGGAAUCUUCCGCAAUGGGCGAAAGCCUGACGGAGCAACGCCGCGUGAGUGAUGAAGGUCUUCGGAUCGUAAAACUCUGUUAUUAGGGAAGAACAAAUGUGUAAGUAACUAUGCACGUCUUGACGGUACCUAAUCAGAAAGCCACGGCUAACUACGUG
rnacentral:rRNA from 1 species